rnacentral:rRNA from 1 species
AGAGUUUGAUCAUGGCUCAGGAUGAACGCUAGCGGCAGGCUUAAUACAUGCAAGUCGAACGGUAAGUUAGGUAGCAAUACUUGACCUAGAGUGACGUACGGGUGCGUAACACGUAUGCAACCUACCCAAAACAGGAGGAUAGCUCAGGGAAACUUGGAUUAACCCUCCAUAAGAUUGUAGAGUGGCAUCACUUAGCAAUUAAAACUCUGGUGGUUUUGGAUGGGCGUGCGUAUGAUUAGCUAGUUGGCAGUGUAACGGACUACCAAGGCGAUGAUCAUUAGGGGACCUGAGAGGGUGAUCCCCCACACUGGCACUGAGAUACGGGCCAGACUCCUACGGGAGGCAGCAGUAGGGAAUAUUGGUCAAUGGGUGAGAGCCUGAACCAGCCAUGCCGCGUGCAGGAAGACGGCCUUCUGGGUUGUAAACUGCUUUUGCCAGGGGAUAAAACGUCUCUGCGGAGAUAAUUGAAGGUACCUGGUGAAUAAGCACCGGCUAACUACGUGCCAGCAGCCGCGGUAAUACGUAGGGUGCAAGCGUUGUCCGGAUUUAUUGGGUUUAAAGGGUGCGUAGGCGGCCUUGUAAGUCAGUAGUGAAAUACCCCAGCUUAACUGGGGGGGUGCUAUUGAUACUGCAGGGCUUGAGUACAGAUGAGGUAGGCGGAAUUGACGGUGUAGCGGUGAAAUGCAUAGAUAUCGUCAAGAACACCGAUAGCGAAGGCAGCUUACUAAGUUGUAACUAACGCUGAGGCACGAAAGUGUGGGGAUCAAACAGGAUUAGAUACCCUAGUAGUCC